AAUUCCAGCAGCUUCCAUUCCGAUCAAAGAAGGCUGGUAAAGGACUUCAGGGCAUCGGAAACGCUCAGCACCAAUAGUAAUCACUUGUCCAUCGGGCAGUUCAUAGUUCUUCUCGACAGAGGAGCCUGUCUCGAGUUCCGAGCAAGUCAUGUCGUCGUCGCCGUCGCUGCCGCCGCCACAAUCACCGUUGCCAUCUGAUUAUGGAGGAUCCUCAAGCGAAUCGGAUUGUCCGCCGUCGUUGAAGAAACAAAAGGUGGAUGAGGAAGAUGGAGAAUCCAGCGAUUACGAAAGUCUGGAUCCUUUAUCCCCUCUUUCAGAUGAAAGCUGUCCCAACUGGGAUAUCGAAGAAGCAAAUGAAGAUUUAUAUUGCCCUAUCGAUCCCAAUGAUAAAAAGGUGGAUAAAGCUGUUUGGGAUAGGUACUUCCAACAGAUCCGUGAGAGUGAGGGAUUUGACAUUAAAGAUUAUCCCGGUUCGUGUCCACUGACUACCAUAUUCCCCAUGGUAAACUACUUAAAAGCUCCUGCUCGUGUCGAAAAUGAAAUGUUGAAGGGUUAUGCUGCAAAGGCACUUGAGCAGUACAAUAACAAAAAUGGCACUAAAUAUGAGGUCGACCAUAUUCUCAAGGUUAAUGUAUGUCCCGGUCGAUACUACAUAUUCUAUAUUACCCUUUCGGUCAAGAAUGGCGAGGCGGGAUAUUUUCAAGCUAAGGUGGUGCGGGAUAUAGAUCAAUCUUUGGAUUUUCCAGUCGUUAGGCCAAGGGUGAAGGGAGGUUUGGACAUAUAGUGAUGUGAAGUCUGCGCAUCCUUUUGGCUUUGUGUUGACUUUUUUUGAUUUUGGACAACAUUAAUAUUUGGCUUCUAUGUACCCCACAACCAUGACGUGAGAAAGUGGAGAACGAAUUCCUGCAGGUACACAAGUCGGAUCUCUUCCUCAUUUGUGAAUCCAAGCAAGUCAGAAGACGAGCGUAGCAUGUGUACAAUUUCUAUUUUCAAACUAGACCACAUGUCAUGCUUUUUAGUCGAUGUAGCCCUGAAUCAUAAUUAACACCCGAAAAGAUCAAGAAACGAAUUAAGGAAAAGCUACCAAAACCAACGACGAAGCAACUAAUCAUACGAAAUAGUACGUACAGCCCAAGAGGAGUGGUGAUCAUGGGAUCAAAAACAUUGUUGUCCGAGGUUCGAAUCUCAACAACAUUACGCUUGCUGAGCCACUAAGGGAACCGAGGAGGCUCAUUUGUUCGAGAAGUGUCAUUUCUCAACGUCUUCCAAUAGGCAUGAACCACCGUAGGUUAGCUUUUCUAUAAGUUGAAUUUGCAGUUCUCUUUUAUAUCAAAUAUUUUUAUACCAUUUUCCUUAUUUAUAGUUUUCUCGAUUUUUCAUUUGUUUAUCGAAUUAAGGUCAUUAAAGAUUCUGAGGUAUGAUUAGAUUAUUAUCACGCACUUGCAUCAAAGCUUCAAACUGAAAAUCGAGGUUUUGACUUUUGAGUCAUGCUGGGAGGUAAUUAUGAACCAUUGUUUCUGCCUGAAGCCCACAACCAAAACAACUGAGAGGUAGAGGUUUUUUGCCACUAAAUCCAAUCAACAAACUACUGAGAGGUAGAGGUCUUUUGCCACUAAAUCCAAUCAAUCUUAGUUUCUUUUAAUCACUUUAAAAGUGAGGGCAGGGGCAGAGAUAAUUUUUUUUGAUUAAGUUCGGGUCAAUGAUUCGAGACUUUAUCAUAGACCUCAAUUCACUACUAAAAAUAGUCAAAAAAACGUCAGAAAAAACAGCGACGGAUUGCGUCGCUAAAAAAAACAACGGAAUUUGAGACGCUGUCCGUCGCCUUUUUUUUAAUUUUAUUAUUUUUUAAUUUUUUUAAUAAAAAGCAACGGACAGUGACUAUUUGUCCGUCGCAUUUUUUGAUGGAUUUUCGUGCCAUAUAUAAAUAUAUUUAAAAAUUAAUUAUAAAAUAAAAAUAAUGACGAAGUACGUCGCUUUUAAUUAAAAAUAAUUUAAUAUUAUUUAAAAAUUGUGUCUCCGUCCGUCGUUUUUUAUUAUAUUUUAUUUAUUAAUUUUUUUAAAAUAAGCGACGGACAACGUCUCCCAGUCUGUCGCUUUUUUGGUCAAAAUGACGGUCAACUACUAAAAAAAAGGACAGACAGGGCGACACUGUUUUUCGCUCUUUCUGAAAUAUUUGAAUCCAGUCCCAAAUUUUUCUGUUUUUCUCUGAUAUCUCUCUCUCUAAAACCCUCCCCCUUCUCUCUAAAAAUUUCAACCCCCGCCCCCUUCGCCGCCAUUCACCGCCGCCAUUUCCUCCCCCGUCGCCGUUAUUGCAGCGGCCACUUCCCUCCGUCAGCCUUCUCUCUCCAUAUUGUUAAUUUUAUUUUUUUUUAGUCGAAAUUUUCCUCAUUAUAUAAAGCAGAAAGAAAGAACAAGUACAAGGAGGGGGACAUGAAAAGCCUUACCUCCAAAAAUAAGAUGGAUGAGAAGCCGGCUUUAAGGUCGGCAUACUUAUCCGUGAUACAAAGGUGCUAUCUAUGUACUAGAAAAGCGGUAAAUCUAUGAGAGGACUCCUCUCGGUACAAUGCAACUAAGAAGAGAAAGAAUAACUGAGGGAGGAUCGAUUUUCCCUAAAUCCAAGAUCAGCCUCACAAUUCCAACACAAGGCUCAAGGUCAGUACAACUAAACCAGGAGACACACAACGGUGACCAAAAUUGAAAACUAGUUUCAUUUUUGAUAGCCAUUGAGUGCGGCUACAAGCAUUGGGUGUUGUGUUGCUGGUCUGGAUUUUUGUUGAUUGCAUCAUGCAUAUGUAUGAAGGGUUGUUGCAUCUCUGUGGAUGGAUAUGGUAUGUUGGAGUUUGCACAGUUGGAAAGGCUUAUCUCCUUCCAAGUUGUUGUGACUGUCUUCUCCACAGCUGUAUGUUGGUCUGUGAAACUGCUGCUAUAAUGAAUCCUAUGGAAGUGAUGUUGCAACUCCAACACUAGGUUCCAUUUUGCAGGAUACCUGCACAAAGAGACAGACAGCAGGAACCUAAGAAUUCUUGAUGGCUGCUGGAUGGAUUUCCUGGUGUUGGAUGCUAUGUUGCAGGAGCUUCCAAAUCUGAUAUAUGUUGAGAGAUUGUUGUUUUUGUUGUGUAGAGUGUUGGAAAUUGUUGUUGUUGUUGUGUGAUGGAAUUUGUAUGUUGAAUCUGCAUGUUUUUGAGGGCUGCUGACUGCUUCUGGCAUCUGCUGCUGCUGUUGAGCUGCUGCUGCCACUCCAUUCACAAGGGAGGUUUGGGUAGCUAUAAGGAUGAAAAAGGCCUCCACUUGCUGCUGCAACAGUGCUGCACAGCAGAAACAAUGGAAGGUGAAAGCAGCUGCAGUGUGCAUGUUCUUCCUUCCAGGUUGCAAGUUGUGCUGUAUGUUGAGGUGUUUUGGAGUUGUAAGUUGCUUGUUGAUGAGUACUGUUGACUGUUGCUGUGAUUGUGUGUUGCUUCUGACAACUGCUGCUGCAGUAGAGUUUGCUGCUUCUGUUGUACUGAAGAAUCUUUGCUGCAGAUGUUGUUGGUGUAGUUGUUGGUCCACAUUGGAGGAGCUUCAAGGUCUAAUGCUGCAAUUCCACUACAAGACUCCAAGUUGUUGUACUCCAGCAUCCCAGAUAUCCCAUGUUGUUGCUGAGGUUCUGUAUCCAUCACAGCUAUCUUGUUGGUUUCUUGAUUAUGUGUUUGUAGUGCACGAGGUCCAAGAGUAACUUCAACGUCAGUGUUGCAGCUCCUCAGUGUACCUGCACAAGCAAAUAAACAAACAAGGGCCUCCAAUAGUGCUGUAACUUGCAGUGAAUCCAGCCUGUUGCCUCUCUGUAUUGUAGUUGCUGCUGACAAGGUAACAAACCAAGCAGCCCAUUGUUGAAUCCAGAGUUGUAUUGCUGUGCCUCUUUGAAUGGAGUUCCUGUCAACUGUUGCUACUCCUGUUGUUGCUGCUGUAGCCCAUCUGUUGCAAGUAUGUCUGCACAAGUAAAAGAACAAGAGGAAAAGUACCUCCAAGACUUCUACACAGCAGAAACUGUGCUGUAGUUCUGAAGGUCCAUUGUGGACUUGUAGUUUCUCCUUGUGUGCUGCAUGUUGCUGGAGUUGUUGAGUGUUGUGGCUUGUAAGCAUGUCCCCAACUUUUACGUGCUUUAAUGUAUCUCCAGCCACCUGCAAAUGCAUAGAAACAAGCCAACAAGACCAAAAACAACUAGACACAAACCUUAAGUCGGCUAACUUUUUCAAGGUCGCUCGACUAACGUCUCCAAUUAUCCGUUUGAGCUGAAACUUCUUGGGCUUUGCAAUUACUAUAUUUUCUGUAGUCCUACAACAUUUGGAGGCCUGGAAACUCCAAAUUGCAAAUUGCUCCCUCAUUAGGCUUAAGUCGGCUAACUUUUUCAAGGUCGCUCGACUAACGUCUCCAAUUAUCCGUUUUAGUUGAAACUUAUUGGACUCUUCAAAUACAAUAUUUGCUGUAAUCCUGCAACUUUUGGAGGCCUUUUUCACAAUCUGGAAGCUCCAAUUUGUGAAAUGCUCCAUCUUGAGACUUAAGUCGGCUAACUUUUUCAAGGUCGCUCGACUAACGUCUCCAAUUAUCCUUUUGAGCUGAAACUUCUUGGGCUCUGCAGGAGUUAUAUUUGCUGCAAUCUUGCACAAUUUGGAGUCAUUUUGGUGUAGCAUGGUGUAUUUGUUGAAGGUUGCUGGUUGCUUCUGGUCUCUGUUGCUGUUGCUGAUUGGCUAUUGCUGUUGAUCAGUUGCAGUCACUGUUGCUGCUGUAUUGUGGUAUAUGCAAGUGAUGUUGUUGAGAUGCUGGUGCAGGAACUCCAAACUCAGCUGCUGCAACUCCAAUCCAAGGCUCAAAGUAUUAUGAUACCUGCACAAAGAGGCACCCAACAGGAAACAAAAUUGGAACUUAAGCUUCAUUUUUUAUGGCUGUUGAGUGUGGAUCCAUGUGUUGGAUGUUGGGUUGCUGGUCUGGAUUGGUGUUGCUGUAUGCUCCUGUGUGUUGUGGUAGUUGGAAGUUCUUGUUCUUUGAGGGUGCAGCUGUGUAAAGUACCUGCACCAGGCAAACAAACAAGAAGACACCACUACUCUAGCUCUUACUUCUAGAUGUAUGUUAGUAGUGCUACUGAAGCAGUAAACAAGGGAGACUCUCCAUAUUGUUAAUAAGGUUAGUUAGUUAGGGUUUUAAUUUAGAAAAAAAUAAUUUGUUGAUUUGUUAGUUAAUUUAUUUCAUUUAAUUUGUUUAAUUUAUGUUAUUAACAUAGUUAAUUUGUAUAUGUGAUUUUGAAUUGGUGAAUGUUAGAAAUUAGAUUUUAGGUCUUUUCUUUG